UUGGCAUGGCGCAAGAGCUUCGUGAUGGAGAGUUCUGGCUACCCUCAGAGAUUCUCACAGACGAUGAUUUGCUCAUGGACUUCAAGUCCGACUUGUCCAAGACCAAGACGGCGGAUGAUCUGAGCUCAGCCACCGAGACCGAGAGCGACGAAGACGAUUUUAUCACUCACACCUCCAAGGGAUUGGAGUCGCCGCAAUCGACUCUAUGCGCUUCUUCGUCCAGGGAAAUUAGUGGUUGGGAUUUACUAUGUGCUGCUGCAGAGGAUGCGAAUUACUGGUGAAACGGCGCCGUUCAAGCCCUUUGUUAAGACACCGACGCCGCAAACCGAAGCCUCUCUCGCUUUUCUGCACCUGCAAGCCACUAAUUUUCAGCAGCAUCACAGCAUGUGGAAAAUCGACCGAGAAAUAGGAAGAAGUCAAGGUUUAUCCAUGGCGUCUUGGCCUUCUGUGCACAGCCUCAACAGCAGCAAACUGCCCUUCAAAAAGAGCGAAUCGGAACCGGAGUUUUUUUGCCAAGAAGAUUAGGAUCCAUCCCCGCCCAAAACCGGAACAAACCAGGUGCUAGUGUGAACCAAAGAAGAAACCAGAAUGGGCCGUUCCUACAAGGACAACAAAGGAGAAGCCAGCUAUGAAUCAGGAACUCAGGCUUCCCCAAGAGUGGACGUAUUAAACCUGGGAUACAUCCAAUCACCAAAUGAUGAUUUUUGCAUCGAUUUCAUUAUAUUUUUAGUAGAGAGAGAGAAUAUGGGUAUACAGAGUAAUGCAGUAGGACAGUGGCAGUAGUUAAUAGUAAUAGACGAUGAUGAAAAAAGAUUAACGACUGAUUAUUUUUUAUUUAGAUUAGGCCAUCCACAAUAGGAAUAGCCCAGCAAUAGCCCAGCCAUAGCCUA